CCUACGGGUGGCUGCAGUUUCGAAUCAUUCACAAUGGGCGAAAGCCUGAUGGUGCGACGCCGCGUGAGGGAUGAAGGUCUUCGGAUUGUAAACCUCUGUCACUGGGGAAGAAACGCUUUGAGUUAAUAGUUCAAAGCCUGACUUAACCCGGAGAGGAAGCAGUGGCUAACUCUGUGCCAGCAGCCGCGGUAAUACAGAGACUGCAAGCGUUAUUCGGAUGGGCGGGGCGUAAACCGUGCGCGGGCGGUGGGAAAUCCCGGAGCUUAACUACGGAACGGCGCCUCAAACUACACGGCUAGAGCAUUGGAGAGGGAAGUGGAAUUCACGGUGUAGCAGUGAAAUGCGUAGAUAUCGUGAGGAACACCAGUGGCGAAGGCGACUUCCUGGACAAUUGCUGACGCUCAGGCACGAAAGCGUGGGGAGCAAAAGGGAUUAGAUACCCGAGUAGUC
rnacentral:rRNA from 1 species